GACGAACGCUGGCGGCGUGCCUAACACAUGCAAGUCGAGCGAUGAAGUUUCUUUCGGGAAAUGGAUUAGCAGCGGACGGGUGAGUAACACGUGGGUAACCUGCCUCAUAGAGGGGAAUAGCCUCCCGAAGGGGAGAUUAAUACCGCAUAAUAUUACAGUUUCGCAUGAAACAGUAAUUAAAGGAGUAAUCCGCUAUGAGAUGGACCCGCGGCGCAUUAGCUAGUUGGUGAGGUAACGGCUCACCAAGGCGACGAUGCGUAGCCGACCUGUGAGGGUGAUCGGCCACAUUGGGACUGAGACACGGCCCAGACUCCUACGGGAGGCAGCAGUGGGGAAUAUUGCACAAUGGGGGAAACCCUGAUGCAGCAACGCCGCGUGCAGGAUGAAUGCCUUCGGGUUGUAAACUGCUUUUCUCUGUGACGAAUAUGACGGUAGCAGAGGAAUAAGGACCUGCUAACUACGUGCCAGCCGCCGCGGUAAGAC
rnacentral:rRNA from 1 species